rnacentral:rRNA from 1 species
GGUUAAGUUAGAAAGGGCGCACGGUGGAUGCCUUGGCACUAGGAGCCGAAGAAGGACGGGACUAACACCGAUAUGCUUUGGGGAGCUGUACGUAAGCGUUGAUCCAGAGAUUUCCGAAUGGGGGAACCCACUAUCUUUAGUCGGAUAGUAUCCUUACGUGAAUACAUAGCGUGAGGAAGGCAGACCCAGGGAACUGAAACAUCUAAGUACCUGGAGGAAGAGAAAGAAAAAUCGAUUUCCUGAGUAGCGGCGAGCGAAACGGAAAGAGCCCAAACCAAGAAGCUUGCUUCUUGGGGUUGUAGGACACUCUAUACGGAGUUACAAAAGAAAGUUAUAAAUGAAGCGGUCUGGAAAGGCCCGCCAAAGACGGUAACAGCCCGGUAGUUGAAAUAGCUUUCCCUCCAGAGUGGAUCCUGAGUACGGCGGAACACGUGAAAUUCCGUCGGAAUCCGGGAGGACCAUCUCCCAAGGCUAAAUAC